rnacentral:rRNA from 1 species
UAGGCAUCAAAUCAGGUAGGAUUACCCGCUGAACUUAAGCAUAUCAAUAAGCGGAGGA